GACGAACGUUGGCGGCGUGCUUAACACAUGCAAGUCGAACGGAAAGGCCCUGCUUUUGUGGGGUGCUCGAGUGGCGAACGGGUGAGUAACACGUGAGUAACCUGCCCUUGACUUUGGGAUAACUUCAGGAAACUGGGGCUAAUACCGGAUAGGAGCUCCUGCUGCAUGGUGGGGGUUGGAAAGUUUCGGCGGUUGGGGAUGGACUCGCGGCUUAUCAGCUUGUUGGUGGGGUAGUGGCUUACCAAGGCUUUGACGGGUAGCCGGCCUGAGAGGGUGACCGGCCACAUUGGGACUGAGAUACGGCCCAGACUCCUACGGGAGGCAGCAGUGGGGAAUAUUGCACAAUGGGCGGAAGCCUGAUGCAGCAACGCCGCGUGCGGGAUGACGGCCUUCGGGUUGUAAACCGCUUUCGCCUGUGACGAAGCGUGAGUGACGGUAAUGGGUAAAGAAGCACCGGCUAACUACGUGCCAGCAGCCGCGGUGAUACGUAGGGUGCGAGCGUUGUCCGGAUUUAUUGGGCGUAAAGGGCUCGUAGGUGGUUGAUCGCGUCGGAAGUGUAAUCUUGGGGCUUAACCCUGAGCGUGCUUUCGAUACGGGUUGACUUGAGGAAGGUAGGGGAGAAUGGAAUUCCUGGUGGAGCGGUGGAAUGCGCAGAUAUCAGGAGGAACACCAGUGGCGAAGGCGGUUCCCUGGGCCUUUCCUGACGCUGAGGAGCGAAAGCGUGGGGAGCGAACAGGCUUAGAUACCCUGGUAGUCCACGCUGUAAACGGUGGGUACUAGGUGUGGGGUCCAUUCCACGGGUUCCGUGCCGUAGCUAACGCUUUAAGUACCCCGCCUGGGGAGUACGGCCGCAAGGCUAAAACUCAAAGGAAUUGACGGGGCCCCGCACAAGCGGCGGAGCAUGCGGAUUAAUUCGAUGCAACGCGUAGAACCUUACCUGGGUUUGACAUGGAUCGGGAGUGCUCAGAGAUGGGUGUGCCUCUUUUGGGGUCGGUUCACAGGUGGUGCAUGCCUGUCGUCAGCUCGUGUCGUGAGAUGUUGGGUUAAGUCCCGCAACGAGCGCAACCCUUGUUCACUGUUGCCAGCACGUUAUGGUGGGGACUCAGUGGAGACCGCCGGGGUCAACUCGGAGGAAGGUGGGGAUGACGUCAAGUCAUCAUGCCCCUUAUGUCCAGGGCUUCACGCAUGCUACAAUGGCUGGUACAGAGAGUGGCGAGCCUGUGAGGGUGAGCGAAUCUCGGAAAGCCGGUCUCAGUUCGGAUUGGGGUCUGCAACUCGACCUCAUGAAGUCGGAGUCGCUAGUAAUCGCAGAUCAGCAACGCUGCGGUGAAUACGUUCCCGGGGCU
rnacentral:rRNA from 1 species